rnacentral:rRNA from 1 species
AGAACGAACGCUGGCGGCAUGCCUAACACAUGCAAGUCGAACGAGACCUUCGGGUCUAGUGGCGCACGGGCGCGUAACGCGUGGGAAUCUGCCCUUGGGUUCGGGAUAACAGUUGGAAACGACUGCUAAUACCGGAUGAUGACUUCGGUCCAAAGAUUUAUCGCCCAGGGAUGAGCCCGCGUAGGAUUAGCUAGUUGGUGAGGUAAAGCUCACCAAGGCGACGAUCCUUAAGCUGGUCUGAGAGGAUGAUCAGCCACACGUGGGACUGAGACACGGCCCAGACUCCUACGGGAGGCAGCAGUGGGAAUAUUGUCAAUGGGCGAAAGUCCUGAUCCAGACAA